CCGUCAUUAACUCAAUUGGAAGAGUAUUUAAUUUUAACAAAAUUAAAAGUCGAGGUUCGAUGCCUCGAUGACGGACCA
rnacentral:tRNA from 1 species